rnacentral:rRNA from 1 species
UACGUAGGGUGCAAGCGUUGUCCGGAAUUAUUGGGCGUAAAGAGCUCGUAGGCGGUCUGUCGCGUCGGACGUGAAAAUCCAGGGCUCAACCCUGGACCUGCGUUCGAUACGGGCAGACUAGAGUUCGGUAGGGGAGACUGGAAUUCCUGGUGUAGCGGUGAAAUGCGUAGAUAUCUGGAGGAACACCGGUGGCGAAGGCGACAUCCUGGACCGGCAUUGACGCUGAGGCGCGAAAGCCAGGGGAGCAAACGGG